CCAACGGCCCUCUUUAGGGCCACAAUACAUCUAAAAUCCAUCAGUUG
rfam:Caenorhabditis elegans chromosome IV